rnacentral:rRNA from 1 species
CGCGUGAACGAUGAAGGUCUUUAGAUUGUAAAGUUCUUUUAUAUGGGAGACUGUACCAUUUGAAUAAGUAUCGGCUAACUAUGUGCCAGCAGCCGCGGUAAUACAUAGGAUGCAAGCGUUAUCCGGAUUUACUGGGCGUAAAACGAGCGCAGGCGGGUUUGUAAGUUUGGUAUUAAAUCUAGAUGCUUAACGUCUAGCUGUAUCAAAAACUGUAAACCUAGAGUGUAGUAGGGAGUUGGGGAACUCCAUGUGGAGCGGUAAAAUGCGUAGAUAUAUGGAAGAACACCGGUGGCGAAGGCGCCAACUUGGACUAUCACUGACGCUUAGGCUCGAAAGUGUGGGGAGCAAAUAGGAUUAGAUACCCU